UACUUAGCCAUGCAGGCAGGCAAAAGUUUCAACUUUAUUACUUGGCUGCUCAUUUUCUUUCUUUUCUUUUAUUUUUUCGUUGUGUUUUGAUACUUUUUUUCUCCUUCUGCGCUGGCGACCGAGCGGGGUCAGCAGAAAACGCGUCUUUCGAUUAAUUCUCAACGGUCAUCUGCGCCGAGAGCUGCCCGGGAAGGAUAGAUCUGCGCAAGUCUGCUGUCCUGGGAAAUGCAAAAUUCUGAAAAAGAAUCGUUUGGACUGAAAUUUGUGUAGCAGGAAAUGCGAGAUCUUUAAAGGAUCUGGCCUUGAAGUCAGUGUGCGAUGACAGAUUUGGAAAAAAAGAACGAAAAAGAGAGUGGGGGGUCAUUUCAAUUUACGGCUGAUUAACUCUCUGGAAGUAUUGAAGAAGAAGUGGAAAGAAAAAAACGAUUAAUCGUUUGGAAACAUUGGUGAGAAUGAAAGGAACGUGGUGCCUAUAAGUUCAAGGUGGUUCGAACGUAAAUGUCUCUGUCCAUUUCCAGCGCUGAAUUGUCACACAGGCACCUGACUAGGGACAUGGCAACUUUAGAGGGUUCUGCUUCCAAUUCGAAAGUUCUUCCAAAACAAUUCCAAAAGUUUUUUUAAGAAUUCUAUUCUAAAGCUAUUUAUUUAGCCCAUUCCAAAGCUAUUUAUGCGUUCUAUUUUUUAGGUUUUUAUUCCAAGAUUUUUUUAUGUAUUAUUUUCCCAAUAAUUCAGUUUCGCGUUUUCACUUAAUUUACAAGAGAGGUGUGCUCGAAUUUAUUCACACUGCAAUCAAAUAUGACCUAAAUUUAAAAACAUUAUUCUUAAGAUUUUUUUUCUUCAAAUUUUUAAAUUUAUUUGCAAAUUAUUUUUUUCCAAUUUGUUUUGAAGUUGGUUGACUCGCUCACUUGCCAAUAGGCAAUGAAUGAUUGCUGACUGGGCAGCUGUCUAGGACAAGUGGACUAUAGGAAGGUACCACAGGUAGACGGAUAAAAACAUAUUAUUAGGCCUAGUUGACAUAUAAAUAAAUAUAUAAAUAGAGCAAUAUAAAAUAUUACUGUAAUCUAAACAUUUUGUGAAGUAUAAUUAUUCAGGUUCCUAUUUGUUUCGUUACGGAGAUUUUGUUUUAGUAGUAUUUACAUAUAUUGAACAUCUGCGCACAAAAUAUUGUGCGCAGAUGUCAAACGCGCACAAAUAUAUAAUCGCGCACAAAUAUAUAAACGCGCACAAAUAUAUAACAAAUAUAUAUAUCAAACAUGGAUUCUGCUUAAUCACGAAUCAUACCAAAUAAGUAAAAAUAUUAAGACAUUAAUUUUCAUAAAAUUAUUUGAUUAAAAAUUAAUCUAAAAUAAAUCAUUAAAAUGUUGAUUAAUUAAAAUUGUGUUAAAAUGUGCAACUAAAUUGACCUAUAUAUACAAAAGGGGAAGAGGGGAUCUUAAUGCACAUUACCAGGGCUGCAAAAUGCCUGCCCAAAUUCCUCAUUGCCAGCAGCUCUGUCAAGCUUUAUAUCGUAAGAAUGUGCUAAAGUGAAUGUAUAUUUAGAAUGUAUUAAAAAUCCAUUAUUCUUAUAUUCAAAUGAAUUAAAAUCCGAUAUUCUUGUAUUCAAAUGAAUUAAAAUCCGAUAUUCUUGUAUUCAAAUAUAUCUAAAUUCAUUAUUCUUGUAUUUAAAGGUAUUAAAAUCCAAUAUUCUUGUAUUUAAA